AUGAUUGUUAUCCAUGCAUUUUCAAAUGUACUGUAUCACAACAAAACGCUGGUUCUGCUUGGUGAUCUUUGUUCAGUGGACCAGUCAUCAUCAUCUUCCACUUUCACUUCCCUCAAACCAAAGGAGGUUUUUGUACGAGCGCCUCACAACCUUGCAUCACUGUGGUGGAGUUUCGGCGAAGGGACCAAACUGGUCAUCGGCUCGGGUGAGGUGCGGCCCCCCACGCUGACCAUCUUCCCCCCCUCCAAAGAGCAGCUGCAGACUGGCAGUGCCACGGCGGUGUGCGUGGCCAGCGGAGGCUCGCCUCAGGCCUGGACCCUGGGCUGGAAGGUGGGGGGCAGCAGCAGCACCUCGGGGGUGUCACACAGCUCGGACGAGGCCACCGGCGACGGCCGCUACAGCUGGACCAGCACCCUGAGCCUCCCCGCCGACCGCUGGAGCACGGCCGGCUCGGUGAGCUGCGAGGCCACCAUGCAGGGUCAGAACCCCGUGACCCAAACCCUGAUGGACCCGGGCCGCUGCUCAGAGUAG